UCUCCAAUGAAGCCGUGGUAGGUCCAACAGACCCUGGCAAGCCCUGGCAAGCCCUGCUAAAUCUGUCAGCUAAGGAAGAACUCACCUCCUUCCCCCAAACCCAAACCCACCCUCCUCCCUCCUAGUUGCAUCAGUCAGUCCCCUCCAGGAUCCUGUUCUCAGUCCUGGGACCUCCUGUCGUCGGGAUAAAAUGGGCCUGGGGCCCCUGAGGGUGCAGGCCCGGGGUUCCCCGAUGCAUUUCGGAACAGACCUUGCAGAGCCUGGAGGCUCCCUGCACGGGGGCCGGCAGCUUCCGGCAGCCGAGUCCCUUCCCGGCUCCGAGGGCGGAAGAACAGCAGGAAGGCCGCCCUUCCUGUACUUGACCGCCAUCUCGCUCUCUCCCUGCCGCCUCUUUCUCGGGUCACUCCCCGGGCCCGGUCCGAGGGCCCGCGCCCCUUCCCUUCCUGCGAUCGCCAGGCCGGGGUUCCGCGGAGUCGGGGCGGGCGGAGCGCUCAUCCCGCGCGCUCCCUGCCUCCCAGCAGCCCCCGCGCGCGAGGCGGCGGCCGAGGCUGCAACCUCUACAGGCGGCCGCGGGGUGGCGCUGCCGCCGGGUCGGUGAGGAGGCGGGUCGGCCCUACCCCGUUUCUAUCCCCCGGUCCGCCUCCGCCCUUCCCACCCACCUCCCGCCCUGGCCUCGGGAGGGUGUUUCAACUCCGCGGCCCCGAGGCUGCAGCCGUUGCCUUUGGCUUCCGGCGAUGCUUCCUUCCUCCCGCUGCGGAGCCAGCGUCUCACACCGGCGCCCACGGCGAGAGUGAAGGGGAGAGGACAUUCUCGUCCACAGGUGAGGGAAGCAGGGGACCCAGCUGCUCUUCCAUCCACUUCCCGUCCCAAGCUGCUCGAAGGUGCUGCCAGGUGGUGGGUGUUGGAGAUAGAACAGACCAUGAAACCAGACAGAAGUUGGUGACUGGAGGAGGCCUGUAAAAGAAAAUGACAAAGAAGAAAUGCCAUUCAGAAACCAGAGGGAUCUGACUGAGUUAUGUGGAAGACAAGGCUGGCUGAGACCUGCUAUGCCUGUCCCCAGUGGAGACACUGAUCAUUUCAGGGGCAGGAAGGAGCUGGAGGUGGCUCCAGCUGGGCUACAUGGCAUAGGGACAAGGGGCAGGCUCCUCAUAAGACCUGAACUGCCAGGGCCCUGUCAGUGGACAGAGACAACGGCUAUUUCUAUAUAAUACUUGAAAUGAAUUUGGAUUGAAGAUAAACAUUUUCCCC